rnacentral:lncRNA from 10 species
AGGAUGGCCCGUACUUUGGAACCACUAGCAAAGAAGAUCUUUAAAGGAGUUUUGGUAGCCGAACUUGUAGGCGUUUUUGGAGCAUAUUUUUUGUUUAGCAAGAUGCACACAAGCCAAGAUUUCAGGCAAACAAUGAGCAAGAAAUAUCCCUUCAUCUUGGAAGUUUAUUACAAAUCCACUGAGAAGUCUGGAAUGUAUGGAAUCAGAGAGCUAGAUCAAAAAACAUGGUUGAACAGCAAAAAUUAGAUCCAGUCAUCACGUUCAGCCUCCCAUCUAAGCUGUUUGAGACCUUUGAGAGAAGAAGAAAAGAUGAGUGUACUACCACACUGUAGACUCUUGGUGGUCCCACAGAACAUGCUGCUGAGUCACAGGAACUUCUAGCCUGCCUUGGCCUGUGGUUUCCCACCCACUAUACAAACCCACUGCUUGUUUGUUGCUUUUCUUCUCAUAUUUAUUGUCAAAGAUAAAUGUUUCAAAAAGAAAUGACUAAGGAAGGAAAAGAAACAAAUGCUCUAAAGAUUUUCUCUCCCCAAGCACUUUUACUGGUGAAAUAAAAACCAGUAACAAUCAAUAUGUAAAAACGGCCCACUUCCCUAAAAAAAAGUAAUUUUUGUAGUCUGCAAGGUUUUUUUUUUUUUUGCUUUAGUCUAAAUACUUGUUAAUCUUACAUGUUCUCCUGAGAGAAGAAAAAGCCAUUCCUUUCAGGUUGUAAAGUACCAUGAAAAGGUCUUUCAAAAAUAUUCCUAUCAGCCAGGCAUGGUGGCUCACACCAGUAAUCUCAGCACUUUGGGAGGCCGAGGCAGGCGGGUCACUUGAGGUCAGGAGUUCGAGACCAGCCUGGCCAACAUGGUGAAACCCUGUUUCUACUAAAAAUACAAAAAUUAGCUGGGCGUGGUGGUGCAUGCCUGUAAUCCCAGCUACUUGGGAGGCUAAGGUAGGAGAAUUACUUGAACAUGGGAGAUGGAGGUUGCAGUGAGCCAAGAUCAUGCCACUGCAUUCCAACCUGGGCAAGGGAGUGAGACGCUGUC